AUGGCGACUCACUUUGCAGUAGUUCUCCUGACAAGCCUCCUUGCUCUUGCAACUCUUGCCAACUGCAACGUAGAAGGCGACAUCCUCUACGAGCAAAGGCAAGCAUGGGAGGACCCCAGCAACGUGCUCCAAAGCUGGGAUCCAACCCUUCCCGAUCCCUGCACCUGGUUUCAUGUCUUUUGCUCGAGCGACGGUUCCGUUGUCCGUGUGGAUUUGGGCAAGGCGGGCAUCUCAGGCCCCCUGAUUCCGGAGCUGGGAGGUCUUCAGCAUCUUCAGCAUCUUGAGCUGUACGCAAAUAACAUCACCGGAUCGAUACCAGCGACCUUGGGCAACCUGACAAGCCUGAUCUCUCUUCAUCUCUAUGACAACCUUCUCACUGGAGCCAUACCGGCCUCGCUCGGGGCCGUCCGGACGCUGCGUUAUCUGUAUGAGUUCUGGUCACAUUACAAGCGGCUGAACGGGAAUAUGCUGACUGGCAGAGUUCCGCCGGAGAUUCUCUCUCUUGUUCUUGUGGGGAACUUGGCUGAACUAAAUGUUGCCAAAAACAAUCUGGAAGGCACUGUCAGAUCAUCUCGACGGCGCAGAGAUCGCUACCAAUAA
rnacentral:rRNA from 1 species